UACGUAGGGUGCAAGCGUUAAUCGGAAUUACUGGGCGUAAAGCGUGCGCAGGCGGUUUUGUAAGUCUGUCGUGAAAUCCCCGGGCUCAACCUGGGAAUUGCGAUGGAGACUGCAAGGCUAGAAUCUGGCAGAGGGGGGUAGAAUUCCACGUGUAGCAGUGAAAUGCGUAGAGAUGUGGAGGAACACCGAUGGCGAAGGCAGCCCCCUGGGUCAAGAUUGACGCUCAUGCACGAAAGCGUGGGGAGCAAACAGGAUAGAA
rnacentral:rRNA from 1 species